CCUACGGGAGGCAGCAGUGGGGAAUAUUGGACAAUGGGCGAAAGCCUGAUCCAGCCAUGCCGCGUGUGUGAAGAAGGCCUUCGGGUUGUAAAGCACUUUCAGUGGGGAAGAAAGCCUUGGGGCUAAUACCCUCGAGGAAGGACAUCACCCACAGAAGAAGCACCGGCUAACUCCGUGCCAGCAGCCGCGGUAAUACGGGGGUGCGAGCGUUAAUCGGAAUUACUGGGCGUAAAGCGCGCGUAGGCGGUCUGAUAAGCCGGUUGUGAAAGCCCCGGGCUCAACCUGUGAACGGCAUCCGGAACUGUCAGGCUAGAGUGCAGGAGAGGAAGGUAGAAUUCCCGGUGUAGCGGUGAAAUGCGUAGAGAUCGGGAGGAAUACCAGUGGCGAAGGCGGCCUUCUGGACUGACACUGACGCUGAGGUGCGAAAGCGUGGGUAGCAAACAGGGUUAGAUACCCCCAGUAGUC
rnacentral:rRNA from 1 species